UCGCUUGUGAGCCCCGCGGCACUCCCGCUCC
rnacentral:sRNA from 1 species